CAGCCGCCGCGGGAAUACGGAGGGUGCAAGCGUUAUCCGGAUUUAUUGGGUUUAAAGGGUCCGUAGGCGGAUCUGUAAGUCAGUGGUGAAAUCUCACAGCUUAACUGUGAAACUGCCAUUGAUACUGCAGGUCUUGAGUAAAUUUGAAGUGGCUGGAAUAAGUAGUGUAGCGGUGAAAUGCAUAGAUAUUACUUAGAACACCAAUUGCGAAGGCAGGUCACUAAGAUUUAACUGACGCUGAUGGACGAAAGCGUGGGGAGCGAACAGGAUUAGAGACCCCUGUAGUCCCUGUCUCUUAUAC
rnacentral:rRNA from 1 species